rnacentral:rRNA from 1 species
GCUCGAUGAGUAGGGCGGGACACGUGGUAUCCUGUCUGAAUAUGGGGGGACCAUCCUCCAAGGCUAAAUACUCCUGACUGACCGAUAGUGAACCAGUACCGUGAGGGAAAGGCGAAAAGAACCCCGGCGAGGGGAGUGAAAAAGAACCUGAAACCGUGUACGUACAAGCAGUGGGAGCACGCUUAGGCGUGUGACUGCGUACCUUUUGUAUAAUGGGUCAGCGACUUAUAUUCUGUAGCAAGGUUAACCGAAUAGGGGAGCCGAAGGGAAACCGAGUCUUAACUGGGCGUUAAGUUGCAGGGUAUAGACCCGAAACCCGGUGAUCUAGCCAUGGGCAGGUUGAAGGUUGGGUAACACUAACUGGAGGACCGAACCGACUAAUGUUGAAAAAUUAGCGGAUGACUUGUGGCUGGGGGUGAAAGGCCAAUCAAACCGGGAGAUAGCUGGUUCUCCCCGAAAGCUAUUUAGGUAGCGCCUCGUGAAUUCAUCUCCGGGGGUAGAGCACUGUUUCGGCAAGGGGGUCAUCCCGACUUACCAACCCGAUGCAAACUGCGAAUACCGGAGAAUGUUAUCACGGGAGACACACGGCGGGUGCUAACGUCCGUCGUGAAGAGGGAAACAACCCAGACCGCCAGCUAAGGUCCCAAAGUCAUGGUUAAGUGGGAAACGAUGUGGGAAGGCCCAGACAGCCAGGAUGUUGGCUUAGAAGCAGCCAUCAUUUAAAGAAAGCGUAAUAGCUCACUGGUCGAGUCGGCCUGCGCGGAAGAUGUAACGGGGCUAAACCAUG